AGUGAACGCUGGCGGUAGGCCUAACACAUGCAAGUCGAACGGCAGCACAGUAAGAGCUUGCUCUUACGGGUGGCGAGUGGCGGGCGUGUGAGGCAUACAUCGGAAUCUACUUUUUCGUGGGGGAUACCGUAGGGAAACUUACGCUAAUACCGCAUACGACCUACGUGUGAAUGCAGGGGAUCUUCGGACCUUGCGCUAUUGAAUGAGCCUAUGUCGGAUUAGCUAGUUGGCGGGGUAAAGGCCCACCAAGGCGACGAUCCGUAGCUGGUCUGAGAGGAUUAUCAGCCACACUGGAACGGAAACACGGCCCAGACUCCUCCGGGAGGCAGCGGUGGGGAAUAUUAGACAAUGGGAGGAGGCCUGAUCCAGCCAUACCGAGUGGGUGAAGAAGGCCUUCGGGUUGUAAAGCCCUUCUGUUGGGAAAGAAAAGCAGCAGGUUAAUACCCCGCUGUUCUGACGGUACCCAAAGAAUAAGCACCGGCUAACUUCGUG
rnacentral:rRNA from 1 species